rnacentral:rRNA from 1 species
AGGUGGGAGGCUUUGAAACCAGGACGCCAGUUUUGGCGGAGCCAUCCUUGGGAUACCACCCUUGUAGUACUGGGACUCUAACCAUAGGCCAUGAAUCUGGUCUUGGGACACUGUCAGGUGGGCAGUUUGACUGGGGCGGUCGCCUCCCAAAAGGUAACGGAGGCGCUCAAAGGUUCUCUCAGUACGGUCGGAAAUCGUACGUAGAGUGUAAAGGCAAAAGAGAGCUUGAUUGCAAGACAUACAGGUCGAGCAAGGAUGAAAAUCGGACUUAGUGAUCCGGUGGUUCUGCGUGGAAGGGCCAUCGCUCAACGGAUAAAAGCUACCCUGGGGAUAACAGGCUUAUCUCCCCCAAGAGUCCACAUCGACGGGGAGGUUUGGCACCUCGAUGUCGGCUCAUCACAUCCUGGGGCUGUAGUAGGUCCCAAGGGUUGGGCUGUUCGCCCAUUAAAGUGGUACGCGAGCUGGGUUCAGAACGUCGUGAGACAGUUCGGUCCCUAUCCGUCGCAGGCGUAGGAAAUUUGAGAAGACCUGUCCUUAGUACGAGAGGACCGGGAUGGACGUACCUCUGGUGUACCAGUUGUUCUGCCAAGGGCAUGGCUGGGUAGCUAUGUACGGAAUGGAUAAGCGCUGAAAGCAUCUAAGCGCGAAGCCAACUUCAAGAUAAGAUUUCCCACCGUAAGGGUAAGACCCCAGAAAGACUAUCUGG